rnacentral:tRNA from 1 species
AGCUGCUUAGUGUAAUGGUAUCACGUCAGACUCUGAAUCUGAAAAUCGUUGGGUUCGAUUCCCCGAGCGGCUGCCA